GACGAACGCUGGCGGCGUGCCUAAUACAUGCAAGUCGAACGAACUCUGGUAAUGAUUGGUGCUUGCAUCAUGAAUUACAUUUGAGUGAGUGGCGAACUGGUGAGUAACACGUGGGAAACCUGCCCAGAAGCGGGGGAUAACACCUGGAAACGGAUGCUAAUACCGCAUAACAACUUGGACCGCAUGGUCCGAGUUUGAAAGAUGGCUUCGGCUAUCACGUUUGGAUGGUCCCGCGGCGUAUUAGCUAGAUGGUGAGGUAACGGCUCACCAUGGCAAUGAUACGUAGCCGACCUGAGAGGGUAAUCGGCCACAUUGGGACUGAGACACGGCCCAAACUCCUACGGGAGGCAGCAGUAGGGAAUCUUCCACAAUGGACGAAAGUCUGAUGGAGCAACGCCGCGUGAGUGAAGAAGGGUUUCGGCUCGUAAAACUCUGUUGUUAAAGAAGAACAUAUCUGAGAGUAACUGUUCAGGUAUUGACGGUAUUUAACCAGAAAGCCACGGCUAACUACGUGCCAGCCGCCGCGGUAA
rnacentral:rRNA from 1 species